UCAGUAUCUCUCCCUCCCUCUUGAUCUCUCUCUCUCUCUCGAUCUCGAUCAGUCUCCCACUCUCUCUCUCCCUCUUCCUCUCCAACUCGGAGCUCGACGAAGAGAGCCUCAACGAGCACAACCAGGUGUGGAUCGGCUGGAGUUCAGAUCUGGUCUGUGCACUUAGGGAUUGUAUUCAGUCCAUCCAUAAGCUGAGAAAAGCAGAAGAGAAAAAGCAGUAGUGUGCAUUACAAUAUGUCAAGAUGUUGGCUCCAUUUUCAGUAGAAACUGAAUCAGAUUGGAAGAGUUGUGUAGUCUGUUUGGAUGACUUGCAUUCUGUGUUGGGAUGGUUGCAGAAUGGAUGAAGAGUGCUUAUUUGGAGGAAUUGUUGGUUGCAGAUCUAUAGGUUUGGAGGGGAAUUCUUGCGUUGGAUGAAGAGUGUUGUAUGUUUUCAGCAAGUGAAGAGCAGAGCUACAGCUGCAUUUGGUAAUGGAGUUUAUUUGGAGAAGCACAUAAAAAAUCCCAGGCACAUUGAGUUCCAGGUACAUAUUCCGAUUGAACUUUCUAUCACAUCCAUUCCAUUAGGGGCUGUUUGGAUUGGUGGAAAUAAAUAAGUGAGAAAAUGAAAUCAAUUUCCUCAGAUGUGAUGGUUUCCCUUAUUUGCAAAAGACGAGGAUUGAGGAGAUUGAUUUCCUUUUCCUUUCUAAAACCAAACAAUCAGCCAAAGGAUGGAUUGUGAUGUUGAUGUAUCAUUUAUAGUUUCAAUAGUUUCAGUUUUUUUUUUAAUUAAAAAAAUCUUUGAUGGCAUUUUCUUAAAUUUCAUAGCAUUCCUCUGUCGUAGAUCUUGUGCUAAAUGCAUGAACUGAUUAUCUUUAAAAAAAUUUUAAAAAUACAUGAUAUUAUUCUUGGUGAAGUUGUUGGUGCCUGUUUGAUUUCCCGUGCUGGAAGUCUUACAAAUCUAGCUAAGUGCCCUGCUUCUACACUUCAGAUCCUUGGUGCCGAAAAAACACUUUUCAGGUGCAUGCUUCAGCAUCUUACUUAUGCUUUAUCAUUCAUCAUCAUAAUUGUUGUUGUCAUUCUCAUCGUUGUUGUUUUUCAUGGCAAAUCCUGCUGUCAAACCAUCUAGGCGAGGAUGAUAGCCAAGUGCAUAACCUUAUGGCGUUGCUAUAUUAUCCCAGCUUUGUUCUAGUCCAAUUAAUUAUCAGGCCUCAAAACUCUUAUGUGGGCCCAGCCCAUGGGCCUUAAGCUCUAGCCAAAACAUCCAACCUGGCCCACAUUCACUGCUGAACUUGUAUUCCAGAAAGCCAUGAUUAUUGAUCUGGAUAUGGAGGGCUGUAUUUCCUGUCUUCUU